CUACGGGUGGCUGCAGUGAGGAAUAUUGGUCAAUGGGGGCAACCCUGAACCAGCCAUGCCGCGUGGAGGAAGACGGCCCUAUGGGUUGUAAACUCCUUUUGUAUGGGAAUAAUAAGGGUUACGUGUAAUCCGACGAAGGUACCAUACGAAUAAGCAUCGGCUAACUCCGUGCCAGCAGCCGCGGUAAUACGGAGGAUGCAGGCGUUAUCCGGAUUUAUUAGGUUUAAAGGGUGCGCAGGCGGCCCGGUAAGUCAGUGGUGAAAGUUUGCAGCUCAACUGUAAAAUUGCCAUUGAUACUGUCGGGCUUGAAUGUGGUAGAGGUAGGCGGAAUGUGUAGUGUAGCGGUGAAAUGCUUAGAUAUUACACAGAACACCGAUUGCGAAGGCAGCUUACUAUGCCAUGAUUGACGCUGAGGCACGAAAGCGUGGGGAGCGAACAGGAUUAGAUACCCCUGUAGUC
rnacentral:rRNA from 1 species